CACACAAAUAGGGUAUUUAGAAAAGAACAAGAAUAAUCAAUUUAUAUUAAAAAAACUAUAUUUUUUUAAUUGUGAUGCACUAGAAAAGAAAAUAUUACUAUCUUUAUUUUUAUUUACAUGGUUAGGUAGCAAAGAAAAAGAAAAAAAAGAGGCAUAUACUGAUAUAGUAGUGGCAUGCUCACAUAUAUAUAUGCGAACAAAUAUACACACAUAUUAGGUGUGUUUGCAGCGGAAGCUAAUAUAUAAAUAAUACUGUAGAAGAACAUAAUAUUGGUACGUAUAAGAUGUAUAGUGAUGAUAAAACAUGUUAUAGUAACUUUCAGAGUAAUAGGAUUAAGCAUGAUAUAAUAAAAAGUGCAGUAUAUGGUAAAAACGGCACAAGCGGUACAAACGAAAUGAACAACAUGUAUAACCCUAACAAUAUGAUGUACAACCCUAACUAUAUGAUGUACAACCCAAACGAUACGAUGUACAGCAGAAACGAUACAAUGUACAGUAGAAACGAUACAAUGUACAGCAGAAACGAUACAAUAUACAGCAGAAACGAUACGAUGUACAACCCAAACGAUACGAUGUACAGCAGAAACGAUACGAUGUACAGCAAAAACGAUACGAUGUACAGCAAAAAUAGCACACUGUUAGAUAAGAACUUAAUUAUAGACAGUUUAAAUGAUGUACAGAGUAAAACAUUAAAAGAAAUGGGUUAUAACAUAGCAGAAAAUAACAAUGGAAAUAUGAAAGAAAGGAAUGAAAAUUAUACAAAUUCCUUUGCCAAUUUGUUAUAUUUUAAAAAACUAAAGUUAAAUAAAAAAUUAUUUAGUAAAUUAGAAAAUAAAAACGUCGUAAUAUAUUUGAAAUAUAAAAAUACUGUAUGUACAAGUGAAAAUAUAAAAAUAACAAAUUACGAAAUGAAUGAUUUAUUUUUAUGUUUUUUAAUUACUGAACCGUUUAUAAAGGAUGAAAAAAAAUUAAUAAAAGUAUAUAUCAAAUAUUUUAAAAAUAAUAAAUAUAAAAUAUUAUCUUUCGGAUUAAUACAGCUAAAUUUUGAAGAAUUCACAGAAAAUUUUUACAAUAAAAAAAUAUAUUUAUUAUGUUAUGAUAAAAAAAAAAAUAAAUAUAUAUUUGGUUAUUUUAUAAUAAUGUUAGCAAAUCAAGUAAAAUGGACUGUAUGUAAUAAAAGAAUAUCAUAUGAACACAUUAACAAUUCAUAUUUUG
rnacentral:lncRNA from 1 species